GUGGGGAAUAUUGGACAAUGGGCGAAAGCCUGAUCCAGCAAUGCCGCGUGAGUGAUGAAGGCCCUAGGGUUGUAAAGCUCUUUUACCCGGGAUGAUAAUGACAGUACCGGGAGAAUAAGCUCCGGCUAACUUCGUGCCAGCAGCCGCGGUAAUACGAGGGGAGCUAGCGUUGUUCGGAAUUACUGGGCGUAAAGCGCGCGUAGGCGGUUUUUUAAGUCAGAGGUGAAAGCCCGGGGCUCAACCCCGGAAUUGCCUUUGAAACUGGAAAACUAGAAUCUUGGAGAGGUCAGUGGAAUUCCGAGUGUAGAGGUGAAAUUCGUAGAUAUUCGGAAGAACACCAGUGGCGAAGGCGACUGACUGGACAAGUAUUGACGCUGAGGUGCGAAAGCGUGGGGAGCAAACAGGAUUAGAUACCCUAGUAGUCC
rnacentral:rRNA from 1 species